rnacentral:rRNA from 1 species
UACGGAGGGAGCUAGCGUUGUUCGGAAUUACUGGGCGUAAAGCGCACGUAGGCGGCGAUUCAAGUCAGAGGUGAAAGCCCGGGGCUCAACCCCGGAACUGCCUUUGAAACUAGAUUGCUAGAAUCCUGGAGAGGUUAGUGGAAUUCCGGGUGUAGAGGUGAAAUUCGUAGAUAUUCGCAAGAACACCAGUGGCGAAGGCGGCUCACUGGCCCGAUACUGACGCUGAGGCACGAAAGCGUGGGGAGCAAACAGG